rnacentral:rRNA from 1 species
GCGCAGCAGGCGCGAAACCUCCGCAAUGCGGGAAACCGCGACGGGGUCAGCCGGAGUGCUCGCGCAUCGCGCGGGCUGUCGGGGUGCCUAAAAAGCACCCCAUAGCAAGGGCCGGGCAAGGCCGGUGGCAGCCGCCGCGGUAACACCGGCGGCUCGAGUGGUGGCCACGUUUAUUGGGUCUAAAGCGUCCGUAGCCGGCUCGGCAAGUCCCCUGGGAAAUCUGGCGGCUCAACCGUCAGGCGUCCAGAGGAUACUGCUGGGCUUGGGGACCGGGAGAGGUGAGCGGUACCUCAGGGGUAGGGGUGAAAUCUUGUGAUCCCUGAGGGACCACCAGUGGCGAAGGCGUCUCACUAGAACGGGUCCGACGGUCAGGGACGAAAGCUAGGGGCACG